rnacentral:rRNA from 1 species
AUGUACAUGCCUACAACUUUAAUACAUUGGAUCUCAUCAGAACUCCAUAGUUAAGUGCACUUGAGCUAGAUUAGUACCGGGAUGGGUAACCUCCUUGAAAGUCUUAGUGUUUUACAUG